rnacentral:misc_RNA from 1 species
GGUGUUUGAUUUUGGUUUUAAGUCCUUUUUUUUUUUUAUCUGGUGUUUUAGCUGGAUGGUUGAUUGUUUUAGUAUGAAGUUAUGUAGUGGAUUUGAGGUAUCUAAUUGAGAUUAUGCUUGAUUUUGGAGAAGUAGUUUCUUCUAGCCAGAUAAAUCCUUUUCCCCACUUAUAUAAGCUUUAAAUCUGCUACCUGUAUAAGAGGAUUUGUGCACACUACUGAUAUUUAAUCACCCAUGUACUCUGUUUCCAUAUAAAUUAAAAUUUUGAUGUGUCGAUUAUUGGGGUUAUUUUGUUUUUGAGAAAGGGUUGAUUUGAUAUAAUUGUUAAAUUUUAUGAGAAAUUGGUUUAGGAGAUGGUUACAAUUUCUUUGAACUUGAGGUUUGUUUUAAAUAAGUGAUGGCAUUUGGUCAAUGGACAUGAGAUAUUUACUGAUUGGAAGGGAGUUUUCAUGUACAACAGUAUAAUAUAUGUGGGUUUUGUUAUGUUGUGAUUGGAAGCUCAAUUUGGUUGUUGAAUUUCAGGUGAUAAGCUUCUCUCCGACUCAUUCCCAUAUAAGGAAAUCGAGAACGGGAUGUUAUGGGAAGUUGAGGGAAAGUGGGUUGUUCAGGGAGCAAUUGAUGUAGAUAUUGGUGCUAACCCUUCUGCUGAAGGUGGGGAAGAAGAUGAAGGUGUUGAUGACCAAGCUGUCAAGGUUGUUGAUAUUGUUGAUACAUUCAGGCUUCAGGAGCAACCAGCUUUUGACAAGAAGCAGUUUGUC